AGCUCCAAUAGCGUAUAUUAAAGUUGUUGCAGUUAAAAAGCUCGUAGUUGAACCUUGGACCUGGCCGGCCGGUCUGCCUCACCGCAUGCACUGGUUUGGCCGGGUCUUUCCUUCUGGCAAGCCGCAUGCCCUUCACUGGGUGUGUUGGGGAACCAGGACUUUUACUUUGAAAAAAUUAGAGUGUUCAAAGCAGGCAUUAGCUCGAAUACAUUAGCAUGGAAUAAUAGAAUAGGACGUGUGGUUCUAUUU
rnacentral:rRNA from 1 species